AUGGAUGUACCUGAAAUAAUCUUGAAUUUUUUAAAGGGGCCUGACUCAACUGAAUCUAACAAAAAUAUUGAGUCACUUGAAGAUUGCAAAGCAAUUGACAAGUUUGAAACCAACAUGAAAAUGCAAACACAACCUGCAGAGAUUUCAAAGCCAGCAGAUUUGCAGACUGUAGUGUCAUCUGAGCAAAUUUCAAAUGUAUCGGAAGAAGUAGCGCAAGAUGAAACGAGCCAAGAUGUGAAAGAGACCAACGAAGUCACUAAGGUCAUCACAACUUCAGAAAAUCCAGACGAAAUGGAAGAAGCUGAAAGUCCGAAUGUGAAUGAGCCUUCAAGAGAAGUAUCUGGAAAUGAGGAAUUUCUAUGGACUCCCACAAAUGACUGUCAAGAAAAUGAAGUUGUUGAGGAAUAUAUUUGUUCCGCUGCAAAGUCAAAUGAAAUGGAAAUCCAAACAGAAACAGUAGAGAUUUACAUACCAACAUCAAAAGCAGAGACAAAAACUCAGGAGAUCAGUGAGUUCGCCUCAAACUAUGGGGAACAGAAAAAUUCUACUUUGACUGUUCAAUCUACCGUUUCUUCUCAAAGUCAUGGAGAAUUGGAAAUGACGACAUCAGUGACAGCUGAGAAAGGUAUUGACAAGAAAUUCGAUGAGGUGAUGCAGAGCCAGGAAGCCCAAGAGGUCACUAAAAGUGAUCUAAGUGAGGGUAAAUUUGAACGUAAUCCUGCUAAUUCUGCAUCGGAGGGGCCUCCAGGAGGUUUGACAGAACACCAUAGCUUUUUGGUAGAGGACAUCAGCAAUGAAGCGGUGGAGACAUUUGUUGAAAAUCAGAAAUCGCAAUCUGUUGAGAUGGAAGAUGAAGAAAUUGAGAGACAGACAGAACCUGUUGUUGAGGAUGUCCAAGAAAAAGUCAAUGUUAAUAGUUUGUCAAUGGAAAGUACAGAUUCUGUAUUGGCAAAGGAAACAGGAAGCGAAAUGAUUGAUACCAACACUAACGCUGAAGAAGCUGGAACUCAGAGCAAUGAAGUCAUUGUUUUUAUUUCUGAGCAACAAGAUGACACUGUCAUGGUAAUGGAGGAGCCCAUCAAGACUUUUAAUCAGUCUGAGUUUGAGCAUCACAAAAACCAAGUUGUGUAUGAACCCAUUAGUAGUCCAGAGAGUAUCGGAGAGGAGAUUUGUGCCACAGCAGAGUUGCAUGGAGGAGUUUCUCUUCUGGAUCUACAGAAUGCAGAAAACAACCACCUUGAAGGAGAUUUCUCAAAAUGUUCUGAUAAUGCGGACCUCACAAAUACUGAAGAUCACAGUACAGGGGACAAGGAAAUUGCUGAAGAAGAAGUUUGUAUCUCUGAUACUCAUGAACUCAAUGCAAUGGAAGUAGUCAACGAGCCACAAUGUAUCCCCCAACCUCCACUAGAACAUAGUAAUGCCACUGUAGACACGAGAGAACUAUCAACCAUCAGCUCCAGUGACGAUAUCUGCAUGACGGAUGCUGAAAAUGUUCAAGAAAAACACGCGGGAAAUGACCUUCUGGAGUCUGUUGCAGAGUUAUCCGAGCAGAUGCAGGUGGAUGCUACACCGCAGGAGGCUGCAGACGUAUCAGUGACGACUCAAACGGAAGUCAGGGUAACAGAUCCCUCUGAAGAGUUUGUCAUCUUAGAACCCGUCCCAGAAAGUGAGAUUCAGUUUGAUAUUGUCACUCAAGCUGCAGCUGAAUCCGGUCUGUCGGCUUCGCUGUCAAAGGAGGACCUUUCAGUUGAUGAAACAGCGAAUCAUAGUGUUUUGAAUGAUUCACAGCAAAGCGAGUUCCUUGAGGUUCCCCCAUCAGAUGACCACGACUCAGGUGAAGUUGUGGAUCAGGAGACGAAACCCAUCAUUCUUGAAGACCAGCAACCAUCACCUGGCAAAGUGGAUACGGUGAUAAUGGAGCCUCAAACUCAACUCACAAGCAAAGACAGCAGUGCUGUUGUGACGGAGCCUGCAGAGGGUCAGGAAGUCCAGAUUCUGGAGGAAAUGGAAAUUGGUCGUGAAAUUACAGUGGCAGAAGAAAACGAGGAGGACGACGACAUUUCAAUUAUUGCGAAACCAACGGAACAGGAGGUUCUUCCAAAGAAGUUGGAAGAAAAAGUUAGUGAAAAAACUAAAGAUGAUACUAGCGAGACGUCGAAGCACAACAGCGCCGCCAAAAAGACUGAAGGAGGCAAAAAGGGACCGGAGGUGGAUAAACCCAAGAAACAAGAAAUGAACACGCAGGCAAGAACCAAAGCACGUCUGGCAGCGCUGGCUGAACAGAAAGCGGCAGAGUCUAAGAGAUCGGCAAACCGACAGCAGCUGAAUCUUUUAGCACUUUGUGAGGAAAUCGCAGAGGACAUUGCCACAGACAGCAUGUUAUUGAAGAGGAUAGAGGAGGAGAAGCAGGCGGCUGCUGCAGCAGCAGCUGCCAAGACGGAAGUAGCCAAGACAAACCCGCCAACUGCUAACACACAAGAUACAGAUUUGGAUAAUGUUGUGACCCCUGCUGGACCAGAAGGUGUCUCUGCAUCUGAGGUAAAAAGCCCAGAAACACAAAGUGCUGACGCUCCUGUCUCACAAAGCGCAGAAGCACCUGCGACAGUAAGUGCUGAAACACCUGCCUCGCAAGUCUCAAAAGUUGUUCAACCCUCAACCCAAACUAAGCCUCCUGCAGAGCCUUCAAAGAGACGCUUUUUCAUCUCUCAGGUUUCAGUGCCGCUGAAAGCUCACGAGAAAAAGAAGCUCACUCGAUAUCAAAGACUAAGGCAGGUCGAACUCCAGAGAGAGAAAAUGUCCUGGGCCCGUGUGAAAAAGCUCAAAUCCGACCAAGCAAACCAGAUGUUUUCAGGCAUGGAAUGGCAAGCUCCGUUUGCUGCCGCCUCUUUGUUUCCAGCUAUUACUGUUGCAACAAGUCCUCCACCUGCAGCCUCUCCAUCAAAAACAUCUUCACCUGGUCCUGCUACGACGAGCAGACCUGCCCCGUCAGAAGUUUCCAAGGCCGACCCUCCAAAAGACGAACCGGCAAAAGCGACGGCUGUCAAAACGGAACCGUCAACGACUGAAACUGCCAAACCGAUUAAAACAGAAGUCGACCCCAUGCAAGAAGACGCCACAAAAAGUGUUCCUGUGAAAACAGGACCGGCCAAGACCGAACGUCCUGUCACUGAAACCCGAAUGACCACGAGGCAAAGCAAAGCUCAAGCCGCAAAAGCUGGUGCUGCGGCACCACGACCUGCCCCAAAAGUGACCCGGUCGGCAGCCAAAAGGAGCCUCCCAGCGGUGCCUCCUCCCAUGCCCAACGGACUUAAUUCUCAAAAGCCAAAACUGGAAAUCGAGUACAAGCCGUACAGACCCAGACCCAAGUACUCCCCUGAUGACUUUGAACUGGAUGAUGACGACCAGUUGUUAGCUCCUUUGAUAAAGCAGAGUCUGCCUGUUCGGACCCCUCAACCCGGCCACCAGUCGUGCCCCGCAUCUUCAUCUAAACCACAGUUAAAACCCGCUGCUUCAUCACAACCAGUCAGUCGAGCAAAUCUGAAAUCUCAGACUCCCGGACAGCUAAAAUCUACAGUUGAAGCACGAAUACCAUCGAAAGCUGCAACUUCAGCCAGCGCUCCACCUCCAGCUGCUCCACAGUCCAAACCCGUUCCAGCUUCAGGACGGCCUAAAGCUGCUGCUUCUGCCACCCCCCAGUCACAGACAGCAGUUUCCCAGUUCAAACAACCUCCUGCAGCAGCAGCUGUUUCAGCAAAGACUGCCGUUGCUUCAGUGCCUCCGAAAUCCUCCAGUCCCCCUUCGCAGGAAGAUGACAAAACCAAGGAGUCAGCGAGCGUUUCUUCAUCUUCCUCCUCCCUUAUCCCUGUGAAAGACUCCCAAGUGUCCAAUAACACACCGGAGGAAGAAAAGCCAGCAGGCAGGUUUCUUUUUUUUAUUAUUAUUAUGUCGCCAAAUGUAAGAAUCAUCCAGAUUUUAACAUGUUGA
rnacentral:lncRNA from 1 species